GUGUCAGCAGCCGCGGUAAGACGAACCGUGCGAACGUUGUUCGGAAUCACUGGGCUUAAAGGGCGCGUAGGCGGGUUAGCAAGUCCGGGGUGAAAUCUUUCGGCUCAACCGGAAAAGUGCCUCGGAUACUGCUGACCUGGAGUGAGGUAGGGGCCGCGGGAACUUCCGGUGGAGCGGUGAAAUGCGUUGAUAUCGGAAGGAACGCCGGUGGCGAAAGCGCGCGGCUGGCCCUCAACUGACGCUGAGGCGCGAAAGCUAGGGGAGCAAACGGGAUUAGAUACCCCGGUAGUCC
rnacentral:rRNA from 1 species